rnacentral:rRNA from 1 species
UACGUAGGUGGCAAGCGUUAUCCGGAAUUAUUGGGCGUAAAGCGCGCGCAGGUGGUUUCUUAAGUCUGAUGUGAAAGCCCACGGCUCAACCGUGGAGGGUCAUUGGAAACUGGGAGACUUGAGUGCAGAAGAGGAAAGUGGAAUUCCAUGUGUAGCGGUGAAAUGCGUAGAGAUAUGGAGGAACACCAGUGGCGAAGGCGGCCCGCUGGGAUCCUUGCUGACGCUGAAGCGCGACAGCGUGGGGAGCAAACAGG